CAGGGGGGGCUAGCGUUGUUCGGAAUUACUGGGCGUAAAGGGUUCGUAGGUGGCUGACUAAGUCAGACGUGAAAUCCCUCAGCUUAACUGGGGAACUGCGUCUGAGACUGGUGAGCUUGAGUGCAGGAGAGGAACGCGGAAUUCCAGGUGUAGCGGUGAAGUGCGUAGAUAUCUGGAGGAACACCGGUGGCGAAGGCGGCGUUCUGGACUGCAACUGACACUGAGGAACGAAAGCCAGGGUAGCAAACGGGAUUAGAUACCCCGGUAGUCCUGGCCCUAAACGAUGAAUGCUUGGUGUGGCGGGUAUCGAUCCCUGCCGUGCCGCAGUUAACGCGUUAAGCAUUCCGCCUGGGGAGUACGGUCGCAAGGCUG
rnacentral:rRNA from 1 species